CCUACGGGAUGCAGCAGUGGGGAAUCUUGCACAAUGGAGGAAACUCUGAUGCAGCGAUGCCGCGUGAGUGAAGAAGGCCUUUGGGUUGUAAAGCUCUUUUGUAGGGGAAGAUAAUGACUGUACCCUAAGAAUAAGGUCCGGCUAACUUCGUGCCAGCAGCCGCGGUAAUACGAAGGGACCUAGCGUAGUUCGGAAUUACUGGGCGUAAAGCGCGCGUAGGCCGUUGAGUUAGUUAAUUGUGAAAUCCCAAAGCUUAACUUUGGAACUGCAAUUAAAACUGCUCGACUAGAGUUUGAUAGAGGAAAGCGGAAUACAUAGUGUAGAGGUGAAAUUCGUAGAUAUUAUGUAGAACACCAGUUGCGAAGGCGGCUUUCUGGAUCAACACUGACGCUGAGGCGCGAAAGUAUGGGUAGCAAAGAGGAUUAGAUACCCUCGUAGUCCAUACCAUAAACGAUGAUUGCUAGAUGUUGGAAAUUUUAUUUACUAUAUCGCNGCUACGCAUAAGUACAUCCGUCCGUCGGGAGGUACGGACCGACCGAACGGUUAAAACCGUUAACCGAAAGGAAAGUUAAGUACGGUCGUUGAGACGUUGCCGACGGACGACGACGAGGGAGGAGG
rnacentral:rRNA from 1 species